UACGUAGGGGGCUAGCGUUGUCCGGAAUCAUUGGGCGUAAAGCGCGUGUAGGCGGUCCGGUAAGUCCGCUGUGAAAGUCGGGGGCUCAACCCUCGAAUGCCGGUGGAUACUGUCGGGCUAGAGUACGGAAGAGGAGAGUGGAAUUCCUGGUGUAGCGGUGAAAUGCGCAGAUAUCAGGAGGAACACCAAUUGCGAAGGCAGCUCGCUGGGACGUUACUGACGCUGAGACGCGAAAGCGUGGGGAGCAAACAGG
rnacentral:rRNA from 1 species